UACGUAGGGUGCAAGCGUUUGUCCGGAAUUAUUGGGCGUAAAGAGCUCGUAGGUGGUUUGUCGCGUUGUCCGUGAAAACUCACAACUCAAUUGUGGGCGUGCGGGCGAUACGGGCAGACUGGAGUACUGCAGGGGAGACUGGAAUUCCUGGUGUAGCGGUGGAAUGCGCAGAUAUCAGGAGGAACACCGGUGGCGAAGGCGGGUCUCUGGGCAGUAACUGACGCUGAGGAGCGAAAGCGUGGGGAGCGAACAGG
rnacentral:rRNA from 1 species